GAGGGUGUAGCUCAGUGGUAGAGCACAUGCCUAGCAUGCACAAGGUCCUGGGUUCAAUCCUCAAUACCUCCA
rnacentral:tRNA from 1 species